ACUCAGGUGGUCAGGCUCAAUGGCAAGUGCACUUUGCUGUCUGAAUCCUGCCACAUGUCAAACCUGUCUCUAUUUGCUUCCUCUUUUCAGGAAACUUGAAAUGGACAAUACCGGAAGUGGCAAGAAGGGAAGAGGCUGAGGAUAAAGGAGAGAAGAUUGUGGAGGCAGCAGAAGAAAGAGCUAUGGAGUGGGGACUAUCAGCCAGAGACACAGUCUCUGCACUGUGUUUCCAACUUCAGCUUAAGGGCUGGUCAGUUUUCACAGAUUCAGACAAGAAGGAACAGGACAAGAGCAUUCAUAUAGACUUAGAUUGCCCAAAACACUGUCCAGUGAGCCAAACUGAGGCUCUCUCAGCCUGGCAGGGCAAAGGAAGCAGAACUGGCUGACAAAGGCAGAGCAUCCACUUCCAGAUGACCCCUUGCUAAUGUGAAACCAAGUGGGGCUUCCUGAGCUAUAAAUGGCCUGCUUGAAAAUGGAGCUUGUUUCUCUCUCCUGAUACUGUAGUAACCAGAAAACACUCUUAGGUUUGGUUUGCUGUAUAGAACUU